GCCGAGGUAAUACGUAGGUGGCAAGCGUUGUCCGGAUGUACUGGGCGUAAAGGGCGUGCAGGCGGUUUGUUUAGUCUAGGGUGAAAGCUCCCGGCUUAACUGGGAGAGGUCCUUGGAUACUGGCAAACUUGAGGGAGGCAGAGGAGAGUGGAAUUCCCGGUGUAGUGGUGAUAUGCGUAGAUAUCGGGAGGAACACCAGUGGCGAAGGCGGCUUUCUGGGCCUUACCUGACGCUGAGACGCGAAAGCGUGGGGAGCGAACCG
rnacentral:rRNA from 1 species